GCUUACGGUCCACACUACCCUGAGACGGCCCGAUCUCUUUGAUCUCGGAAGCUAACAGGGUUUGGCCUGGUUAGUACUUGAUGGGAGAAAACCCACCCUGGGAAUACCAGGUGCUGUAAGCU
rnacentral:rRNA from 1 species